rnacentral:rRNA from 1 species
UGAAUACGAGACGCUAAGGCGUCGAAGUAGUGUAUGUCAUACUUCCAAGAAAAGCUUGCACUGUCAUAGAUAAAAAACGCCUGUACCAUAACCGACACAGGUGGGUAGGUAGAGUAUACUAAGGGGCGCGAGAUAACUCUCUCUAAGGAACUCGGCAAAAUAACUCCGUAACUUCGGGAGAAGGAGUGCCUUAUUCGUAAGGUUGCAAUAACAAGAUCCAAGCAACUGUUUUUCAAAAACACAGGUCUCCGCUAAGUCGUAAGACGAUGUAUGGGGGCUGACGCCUGCCCAGUGCCAGAAGGUUAAAGAAGUUGGUUAGCAAUUGCGAAGCUGAUAACUGAAGCCCUGGUGAACGGCGGCCGUAACAAUAACGGUCCUAAGGUAGCGAAAUUCCUUGUCGGGUAAGUUCCGACCCGCACGAAAGGCGUAAUGAUUUGGAUACUGUCUCGGAGAGGGGCUCGGUGAAAUAGACUUGUCUGUGGAGAUGCGGACUACCUGCACCAGGACAGAAAGACCCUAUGAAGCUUUACUGUAACUUGAAAUUGAAAUUGGACUUUAUUCGCGCAGUAUAGGUGGGAGGCGUUGAUUAUAAUCUUGUGGGAUUAUUGGAGCCAUCAGUGAGAUACCACUCUUGUAAUGUUAGAUUUCUAACUUUGAAUCAUUAUCUGGUCAAAGAACAGUUUCAGGCGGGCAGUUUGACUGGGGCGGUCGCCUCCUAAACGGUAACGGAGGCGUACAAAGGUUUCCUCUGAACGGUUAGAAAUCGUAUCUAGAGUGUAAAGGCAUAAGGAAGCUUGACUGUGAGACCUACAAGUCGAGCAGGGACGAAAGUCGGUCUUAGUGAUCUGACGGUACUGAGUGGAAAGGCCGUCACUCAACGGAUAAAAGUUACUCUAAGGAUAACAGGCUGAUCUCCCCCAAGAGUUCACAUCGACGGGGAGGUUUGGCACCUCGAUGUCGGCUCAUCGCAUCCUGGGGCGGUAGUACGUCCCAAGGGUUGGGCUGUUCGCCCAUGAAAGCGGUACGCGAGCUGGGUUCAGAACGUCGUGAGACAGUUCGGUCCAUAUCCGGUGUAGGCGUUAGAAUAUUGAGAGGAGCCUUCUUUAGUACGAGAGGACCGAGAAGGACAUACCUCUGGUGUACCAGUUAUCGUGCCAACGGUAAACGCUGGGUAGCUAUGUAUGGAGUGGAUAACCGCUGAAAGCAUCUAAGUGGGAAGCCCACCUCAAGAUAAGUAUUCUCAUC